rnacentral:rRNA from 1 species
GAAGUUAGCCGGGACUUAUUCUCCGGGUACCGUCAUUAUCGUCCCCGGCAAAAGAGCUUUACAACCCUAAGGCCUUCGUCACUCACGCGGCAUGGCUGGAUCAGGCUUGCGCCCAUUGUCCAAGAUUCCCCACUGCUGCCUCCCGUAGGAGUCUGGACCGUGUCUCAGUUCCAGUGUGGCCGAUCAGCCUCUCAGCUCGGCUACCCAUCGUUGGCUAGGUGGGCCGUUACCCCGCCUACUACCUAAUGGGACGCGAACCCCUCCUUCUGCGGAUUGCUCCUUUGACCCCUGAGCCAUGCGACUCUGUGGUCUUAUGCGGUAUUAGCACUUGUUUCCAGGUGUUAUCCCCCUCAAAAGGGCAGGUUGUUCACGCGUUACUCACCCGUUCGCCACUAGCUAUAAAUCCGAAAACCUAUAGCCCGUUCGACUUGCAUGUGUUAGGCACGCCGCCAGCGUUCGUCCUGAGCCAGAAUCAAACUCUGA